CUUGUUUUUGCAAGAAAAGGUGAUAGUUCGCGUUCCCGGUGGGAUAUCAAGAAGAAGUGCAUUUUUGUUGAACUCGAAAGAAAUCGAGGUUGAGCGGCGAUGGGCGGUCGGUGGUGUUGAGAAGAUUGAAUCGAAUAAAAUGGAUGUUUGGAACUAUAAGUGUAGUCAUGUCUUCAUACAUGGCUCCGCUUUCUCUUGAAAUGCUUCCGCUGAACUUCUUUUUGAAACUUAUUAUUUUUUGUUGUGGUGAACUUAAUUCUUUGCUUUGGAAUG